rnacentral:rRNA from 1 species
UACGUAGGCAGCAAGCGUUGUUCGGAGUUACUGGGCGUAAAGGGUGCGUAGGCGGCUUUUUAAGUUUGGUGUGAAAUCUCCCGGCUCAACUGGGAGGGUGCGCCGAAUACUGAGAGGCUAGAGUGUGGGAGAGGAAAGUGGAAUUCCUGGUGUAGCGGUGAAAUGCGUAGAUAUCAGGAGGAACACCUAUUGCGAAGGCAGCUCGCUGGGACGUAACUGACGCUGAGACGCGAAAGCGUGGGGAGCAAACAGG